AGAGUUUGAUCCUGGCUCAGGAUGAACGUUAGCGGGAGGCUUAACACAUGCAAGUCGAGGGGUAACAUUUCUUUCGGGAAGAUGACGACCGGCGCACGGGUGAGUAACGCGUAUGCAACCUACCUUUUACAGGGGAAUAGCCCAGAGAAAUUUGGAUUAAUACCCCAUAGUACUGUCAAUUCGCAUGUUUUGACAGUUAAAGUUUCGGCGGUAAAAGAUGGGCAUGCGUGACAUUAGAUUGUUGGCGGGGUAACGGCCCACCAAGUCAUCGAUGUCUAGGGGUUCUGAGAGGAUGAUCCCCCACACUGGUACUGAGACACGGACCAGACUCCUACGGGAGGCAGCAGUGAGGAAUAUUGGUCAAUGGGCGCAAGCCUGAACCAGCCAUCCCGCGUGAAGGAUGACGGUCCUAUGGAUUGUAAACUUCUUUUAUGUACCAAGAAUGUGCCUUACGUGUAAGGUUUUGACGGUAGUACAUGAAUAAGCAUCGGCUAACUCCGUGCCAGCAGCCGCGGUAAUACGGAGGAUGCGAGCGUUAUCCGGAUUCAUUGGGUUUAAAGGGUGCGUAGGCGGCUUAUUAAGUCAGUGGUGAAAUCCUGCGGCUCAACCGUAGAACUGCCAUUGAAAACUGAUAAGCUUGAAUAUAGUUGAGGUAGGCGGAAUGAGUAGUGUAGCGGUGAAAUGCUUAGAGAUUACUCAGAACACCGAUUGCGAAGGCAGCUUACUAAACUAUUAUUGACGCUGAGGCACGAGAGCGUGGGGAGCGAACAGGAUUAGAUACCCUGGUAGUCCACGCCGUAAACGAUGUUCACUCGCUGCUUGCGAUACAUAGUAAGUGGCCAAGCGAAAGCAUUAAGUGAACCACCUGGGGAGUACGUCGGCAACGGUGAAACUCAAAGGAAUUGACGGGGGCCCGCACAAGCGGAGGAACAUGUGGUUUAAUUCGAUGAUACGCGAGGAACCUUACCUGGGCUUAAAUGUAGAUUGCAUGAUGUGGAAACACACUUUCCUUCGGGACUAUCUACAAGGUGCUGCAUGGUUGUCGUCAGCUCGUGCCGUGAGGUGUCGGGUUAAGUCCCAUAACGAGCGCAACCCCUAUCGUUAGUUGCCAUCAGGUUAAGCUGGGGACUCUAACGAGACUGCCACCGUAAGGUGAGAGGAAGGUGGGGAUGACGUCAAAUCAGCACGGCCCUUAUGUCCAGGGCUACACACGUGUUACAAUGGCAGGUACAAAGGGCAGCUACACAGUGAUGUGAUGCUAAUCUCGAAAGCCUGUCUCAGUUCGGAUCGGAGUCUGCAACUCGACUCCGUGAAGUUGGAUUCGCUAGUAAUCGCGUAUCAGCAAUGACGCGGUGAAUACGUUCCCGGGCCUUGUACACACCGCCCG
rnacentral:rRNA from 1 species